AGCAGCCGCGGUAAUUCCAGCUCCAAUAGCGUAUAUUAAAGUUGUUGCAGUUAAAAAGCUCGUAGUUGAAUUUCGGGAUCAAUGCGUCGGUCGUGCCUUCGGUACGUACUAGCGUCAUUGAUUCCUCCCUUCUGAAGAACCGUGAUGUCAUUAAUUUGGUGUUACGGGAAAUCAGGACUGUUACCUUGAAAAAUUAGAGUGUUUAAAGCAGGCUAACGCUUGAAUACAUUAGCAUGGAAUAAUGAAAUAGGACGUUCGAACCUAUUUUGUUGGUUUCUAGGAUCGACGUAAUGAUUAAUAGGGAUAGUUGGGGGCAUUAGUAUUCAAUUGUCAGAGGUGAAAUUCUUGGAUUUAUUGAAGACUAACUACUGCGAAAGCAUUUGCCAAGGAUGUUUUCAUUAAUCAAGAACGAAAGUUAGGGGAUCGAAGACGAUCAGAUACCGUCGUAGUCUUAACCAUAAACUAUGCCGACUAGGGAUCGGAUGAUGUUAAUUUUAUAAUGACUCAUUCGGCGCCUUAC
rnacentral:rRNA from 1 species